rnacentral:rRNA from 1 species
AUUGAACGCUGGCGGCAGGCCUAACACAUGCAAGUCGAGCGGUUGACGGGAGCUUGCUCCCUGAUUCAGCGGCGGACGGGUGAGUAAUGCCUAGGAAUCUGCCUAUUAGUGGGGGACAACGUUUCGAAAGGAACGCUAAUACCGCAUACGUCCUACGGGAGAAAGCAGGGGACCUUCGGGCCUUGCGCUAAUAGAUGAGCCUAGGUCGGAUUAGCUUGUUGGUGAGGUAAUGGCUCACCAAGGCGACGAUCCGUAACUGGUCUGAGAGGAUGAUCAGUCGCACUGGAACUGAGACACGGUCCAGACUCCUACGGGAGGCAGCAGUGGGGAAUAUUGGACAAUGGGCGAAAGCCUGAUCCAGCCAUGCCGCGUGUGUGAAGAAGGUCUUCGGAUUGUAAAGCACUUUAAGUUGGGAGGAAGGGUUGUAGAUCAAUACUCUGCAAUUUUGACGUUACCGACAGAAUAAGCACCGGCUAACUCUGUGCCAGCCGCCGCUGUAA